GUGCUCGCUUCAGCAGCACAUACGCUAAAACUGGAAGGAUACAGAGAAGAUUAGCAUGGCCCCUGCGCAAGGAUGACACACAAAUUCGUGAAGCGUUCCAUAGUUAA
rnacentral:snRNA from 1 species